rnacentral:rRNA from 1 species
GUGCCAGCCGCCGCGGUAAUACGAAGGGGGCUAGCGUUGUUCGGAAUUACUGGGCGUAAAGGGCGCGUAGGCGGUGCUGUAAGUCAGGCGUGAAAUCCCCGGGCUCAACCUGGGAAUUGCGCAUGAUACUGCGGCGCUGGAAUGCGGGAGAGGAUGGCGGAAUUCCCAGUGUAGAGGUGAAAUUCGUAGAUAUUGGGAAGAACACCGGUGGCGAAGGCGGCCAUCUGGCCCGUGAUUGACGCUGAGGCGCGAAAGCGUGGGGAGCAAACAGGAUUAGAAACCCCCGUAGUCC